rnacentral:rRNA from 1 species
AGUCAAUAGAUACCCGGGUAGUCCAUGCCGUAAACGAUGAUUGCUAGGUGUGGGGGGUCUGACCCCUUCCGUGCCGGAGUUAAACACAAAUAAGCAAUCCACCUGGGGAGUACGGCCGCAAGGUUGAAACUCAAAGGAAUUGACGGGGGCCCGCACAAGCAGUGGAGUAUGUGGUUUAAUUCGAAGCAACGCGAAGAACCUUACCAGGUCUUGACAUCCACCGAAUCCUGUAGAGAUACGGGAGUGCCCUUCGGGGAACGGUGAGACAGGUGGUGCAUGGUUGUCGUCAGCUCGUGUCGUGAGAUGUUGGGUUAAGUCCCGCAACGAGCGCAACCCUUGUGAAUAGUUGCUACGAAAGAGCACUCUAUUCAGACCGCCGUUGACAAAACGGAGGAAGGUGGGGAUGACGUCAAAUCAUCAUGCCCCUUAUGACCUGGGCUACACACGUACUACAAUGGCCGUUAACAGAGGGAUGCAAUGCCGCGAGGUGGAGCGAACCCC